rnacentral:ncRNA from 2 species
CCAUUCGAGGGGCGCUGCAGCAAACCGGUGGUUUGUCAGGCUCGAAUGGGGCGUUAUCAAAACGCAUCAACGGCGCCCAUUCGCA